CAGCCGCCGCGGUAAUACGAAGGGUGCAAGCGUUAAUCGGAAUUACUAGGCGUAAAGCGUGCGUAGGCGGUGAGUUAAGUCUGCUGUGAAAUCCCCGGGCUCAACCUGGGAAUGGCAGUGGAUACUGGCUCGCUAGAGUGUGUCAGAGGAUGGUGGAAUUCCCGGUGUAGCGGUGAAAUGCGUAGAGAUCGGGAGGAACAUCAGUGGCGAAGGCGGCCAUCUGGGACAACACUGACGCUGAGGCACGAAAGCGUGGGGAGCAAACAGGAUUAGAUACCCGGGUAGUCCCUGUCUCUUAUAC
rnacentral:rRNA from 1 species